rnacentral:rRNA from 1 species
AUUGAACGCUGGCGGAAUGCUUUACACAUGCAAGUCGAACGGUAACAGGUUAAGCUGACGAGUGGCGAACGGGUGAGUAAUGCAUCGGAACGUGCCCGGUCGUGGGGGAUAACGCAGCGAAAGCUGCGCUAAUACCGCAUACGAUCUGAGGAUGAAAGCGGGGGACCGUAAGGCCUCGCGCGAUCGGAGCGGCCGAUGUCAGAUUAGGUAGUUGGUGGGGUAAAGGCUCACCAAGCCGACGAUCUGUAGCUGGUCUGAGAGGACGACCAGCCACACUGGGACUGAGACACGGCCCAGACUCCUACGGGAGGCAGCAGUGGGGAAUUUUGGACAAUGGGCGCAAGCCUGAUCCAGCAAUGCCGCGUGAAGGAUGAAGGCCCUAUGGGUCGUAAACUUCUUUUAUACGGGACAAACCCCUCCUCGUGAGGAGGGUUGAUGGUACUGUAAGAAUAAGGGUCGGCUAACUUCGUGCCAGCAGCCGCGGUAAU